rnacentral:lncRNA from 1 species
AUUCUAUCUUGAUAUGUUCACUUUAAUCUGUGAUGGAUUUUCUCCUCAUUUCAGUCUUCUACCCAGUAAAUGAUAGAUAUAAAUCCUAUUUUUCCCCUCAGAGUCUAUCCUUGAUAUGUUCACUAUAACUAGUGAUGGAUUUUCUCUUAUUUGCGGUCUUCUUCCUAGUAACCGGUAGUUGUAAAUCCCAUUUCCCCUGCUAAGUCUAUCCUUGAUAUGUUCAUCCUAACCAGUGAUGGAU